CCACACAUCUCCUCCCCUCAGCCUGACUCAUAAUCCCCUUAUACUGUACACAAAUUCCCCCAGUUUCUGGAUGUACCCCUAAACCUAGGGGUACCCCUUUAAAUGGCACAUCCCCUGGUAGCCCUGAUCUGGGUGAGCAACAUAUCCAAAAAUCACCCAGAUCGGACCAGGGGUUCGGGAAAUUCGUGGAGGUAAUAAAAAGACCGACCGCGCUAGAGAGAACAGCCGAAUUGGGCUCCAUGCGAUGGGGCCCUGCGGUCGGUCACAGUAUAAGGGAAUAAAUU